rnacentral:misc_RNA from 1 species
GAUGAAGAACGUAGUGAAAUGCGAUAAGUAAUGUGAAUUGCAGAAUUCAGUGAAUCAUCGAAUCUUUGAACGCACAUUGCGCCCGCCAGUAUUCUGGCGGGCAUGCCUGUUCGAGCGUCAUUUCAACCAUCAAGCCCCCGGGCUUGUGUUGGGGACCUGCGGCUGCCCGCAGGCCCUGAAAACCAGUGGCGGGCUCGCUGUCACACCGAGCGUAGUAGCAUAUCAUCUCGCUCUGGGCGUGCUGCGGGUUCCGGCCGUUAAAGCCUUUUUUUUUUUACCCAAGGUUGACCUCGGAUCAGGUAGGAAGACCCGCUGAACUUAAGCAUAUCAAUAAGCGGAGGA